rnacentral:sRNA from 1 species
UUUUAUAAUUAUACUAAUUCUAAUACUUUCUUUUCAAUUUUCGCAAAUGAAUUUUAAAAUUGGUAUAAUACUAUAUGAUAUUAAAGACAUGAGAAAGGAUGUACUGAGAAGUGAUAAAUAAAGACAUCUAUCAAGCUUUACAACAACUUAUCCCAAAUGAAAAAAUUAAAGUUGAUGAACCUUUAAAACGAUACACUUAUACUAAAACAGGUGGUAAUGCCGACUUUUACAUUACCCCUACUAAAAAUGAAGAAGUACAAGCAGUUGUUAAAUAUGCCUAUCAAAAUGAGAUUC